rnacentral:lncRNA from 1 species
UGUGCCGUUAUCACAAUGAAAGAGUUUUAUUUUGUUUGUUUUCUCCUGUCAGGAUCUACAGAGAAACAUCUUGUCAGAAUCAAACAUCAGCUUUUUAAAAAUUGAUUCAGCUUUAGCGUCAGACCCUGUUAAGAAUUUCUUGCAUGUUUUUGGCCUAAAUUUUAGUACCUUACACAUCUGUUAUAAAAACCUGUAACUGAAACUUUGUAAAAUGCUUCCAAAGCAUGUUUAGAUCAUCUAACAAACCAGACAUGCCAAGAGAAUAAUGACUUCUACCUCCAAGUUGAUCAUGUUAGAGAACUUUAAGAAUCAAACAAAUGUAAAUUUAUAAAAGAUACUAACAACUUCCUAUUUUGUGUAUGAACCAAACAUUUUGAAAAGAAAUAGAAUAGUAAGCCAAACAUUGCCAGAGGUGUUCUUAAGACUAUUAAGAAUGAUCGAUGAUGAUGAAGAGAAGCGGAGGCUUUUAAAAGAUCCUUAUUUGGGUAAUAUAUUAGGGGUGAGAUACCUUAAAGCAGAGAAGAUAUACUCCUUCCUCACUCGGCAAAGUAGAGAAGAAAGCU